GUGCUCAGUGAGUAGCACAGUACGCAGAUUCACCGUUUAGCUUUUAGCCUCUCUCUCUCUCUCUCUGCUUCACACUCCAAAUCUUUUGUAAAGUUGCUGAGGUUUUUGCUACAUCAAUCAUGGCCGUAACCAAUAUGAGAUCAAAACUUCUGAUAGACACAGAAAACCGCAAAGUGCUUUUUGCUGAAGCUGACAAGGACUUCAUCGACUUCCUCUUUCACAUUCUCCGCCUGCCGCUUGGAACUAUCAUUCCUCUUCUGAAAAAGCAGGAAAUGGUGGGCCGUUUUGGAAACAUUUAGGAUAGCAUUGAAAAUUUAAGUACUACUUACCUUCAACCAAACGUGAACAAAUAGACUAUCUUGAAGCACAAAGUUGACGUCUCUGGUGGUACUGGUGAGGUCCCUCUCUUAUUGCCUGACAUUGAAUCAUCAUCGACAUCCAGGAAAUUCUAUAGGUGUUCUAGGCUCCAAAACAACAACUGUUACAGAUAUGUGGCUGAUGAUGGUAGUGCAUUAUGUCCUUCGUGCCAGGGUUCUAUGACCCACGAUGUAAGUUUUGUUGACCCACCAACGGCUAAUAAUGCGGUCUCUAGUGGAGGAGGGUACGUGAAAGGGGUGUUACAUACAUGAUAAUGGAUGAUCUGGAGGUGAAACCCAUGUCCACCAUUUCUAGUGUCACAUUGCUUAACAAGUUUAAUGUCAAACAAUUAGGGGAUCUUGAGGAGAAAGUAGUCGAACUGGGCAUUGAAGAGGUUUUGAAAUUGCUCAAGGCUUCUCUGCAGUCGAAGAGUGUCUUGACUGAUGUCUUCCUCCCGAUGUUGGAACGAGAAGUCAACAUAGAGAGUUAAUUUCAAGGUGGAGUUGUGUAGGAUUGCCAUAACGUUCAUUUUAAAUGUCAGUUAAAUCUGGUGUAGCUUUCUUGACCCUCUAGGUCUUUCUUUUCUUGGAAAUAUAUUAGCUGGUCUUGAAUCUGUUUUAGUUCUUAAAUUUAAAAAAGUUCUCUUUUAUCAAAAAAAUAUGAAUCAAGUUCAUUCUUCAUUUUCCUUUAUACUGCUUGCUUACUUGGUCAAUGGGAGUAUUGAUGUGGUUUUUUUUCUUUUCAAAUGGUCUUUAAAUUUUUACAGAGAUCGACUUCUCAAUCUGAUGUAAAAGAUCAAGAUUCUCCCUGGAUCAAUCUCUAAUUAUCUUUUUAUGUUUUUUUUUUCUUUUGUUGGAAAUGGAAAAUUAUUGUAGCUUUU